CUUACAAACCGCUCAUGCGUGAAGGUUACGUAAAAACAAGCCGCCCAGCUCCCCUGCAGGCAGGCGGAUGGACAAACGGCACUGCUGGGACCCUGCUUGGCCAUGGGGGAAGGACACACACAGCCUGGGUGAGUCCCCGAAUCACUGUACCGAGUGGAAGAUGUCAGAGGAAACCACGUACGCACUGCAGGAGGCCAUUAUGCAAAGCUCUAGAAGAUGCAAAUUAACCUACAGUGACUGAAGGCAGAAAGAAAACAAAAAGCAGCCCAAGGCGAAAAAGUCGAUCCUGUGCCCUGAGCACAGGCAG
rnacentral:lncRNA from 10 species